rnacentral:rRNA from 1 species
AACGAACGCUGGCGGCAGGCUUAACACAUGCAAGUCGAGCGCCUCGCAAGAGGAGCGGCAGCCGGGUGCGUAACGCGUGGGAACGUACCCUUAUCUUCGGAAUAGCUCUGGGAAACUGGAAGUAAUACCGAAUGUGCCCUUAGGGGGAAAGAUUUAUCGGAUAAGGAUCGGCCCGCGUUGGAUUAGCUAGUUGGUGGGGUAAAGGCCUACCAAGGCGACGAUCCAUAGCUGGUCUGAGAGGAUGAUCAGCCACAUUGGGACUGAGACACGGCCCAAACUCCUACGGGAGGCAGCAGUGGGGAAUAUUGGACAAUGGGCGCAAGCCUGAUCCAGCCAUGCCGCGUGAGUGAUGAAGGCCUUAGGGUUGUAAAGCUCUUUCACCGGAGAAGAUAAUGACGGUAUCCGGAGAAGAAGCCCCGGCUAACUUCGUG